rnacentral:misc_RNA from 1 species
AACACUACCUUAUCUCAGCCUUCUCGUACAAAUGAUGAAGUGAAAGGCCUACCAACUGUACAAAAUCACACUCAAAAUACAGAUGAUUCUGUUCAAACUUCGGUUUUGCAAGCAAAUCAGUCCAGUAAUGUUUCAAUUGUCAGUGAGGUACCAUCCGCUGCAGAAAAUAACGCUCAAAAUAUACAGAAUUCUAAUAAAGAUCAAGCAUUGAAGCGAAAUCAAACCACAGUUUCACCGACAAUAAGGCCUGCACCAGCAAAUCACAGUGCAAAUUCAUCUGCAAACCCAGUUUCGCCAGUUCCAGCAAAUAAAGUUGCAAAUUCAUCCACCAACUCAGUCCCAGCGGCACCGGCAAUUCAGAAAGCAAACUCAUCCACGACUUCUGCCUCUUCGGCGAAAGGAAAUUCUGGAAAGCAAGAGAAAGGAGUCGCAAUGAAGAAAGAAGCAUCAAAUUAUACUGCUUCCCUAUUGAAGAAGGAGAGUAAUGGAUCGAAACAGAAAAAUGGAACUAAUUCAGAGGCGUUGAGUAAGCAGGGGAUCAAGAGCUUGUUGAGUUGUGAUUUGUUUGAUGGUGAAUG